rnacentral:rRNA from 1 species
AGGGAAUCUUCCGCAAUGGGCGAAAGCUUGACGGAGCAACGCCGCGUGAGUGAUGAAGGUCUUCGGAUCGUAAAACUCUGUUAUUAGGGAAGAACAAAUGUGUAAGUAACUAUGCACGUCUUGACGGUACCUAAUCAGAAAGCCACGGCUAACUACGUGCCAGCAGCCGCGGUAAUACGUAGGUGGCAAGCGUUAUCCGGAAUUAUUGGGCGUAAAGCGCGCGUAGGCGGUUUUUUAAGUCUGAUGUGAAAGCCCACGGCUCAACCGUGGAGGGUCAUUGGAAACUGGAAAACUUGAGUGCAGAAGAGGAAAGUGGAAUUCCAUGUGUAGCGGUGAAAUGCGCAGAGAUAUGGAGGAACACCAGUGGCGAAGGCGACUUUCUGGUCUGUAACUGACGCUGAUGUGCGAAAGCGUGGGGAUCAAACAGGAUUAGAUACCCUGGUAGUCCACGCCGUAAACGAUGAGUGCUAAGUGUUAGGGGGUUUCCGCCCCUUAGUGCUGCAGCUAACGCAUUAAGCACUCCGCCUGGGGAGUACGACCGCAAGGUUG